rnacentral:rRNA from 1 species
UACAGAGGAUGCAAGCGUUAUCCGGAAUGAUUGGGCGUAAAGCGUCUGUAGGUGGCUUUUUAAGUCCGCCGUCAAAUCCCAGGGCUCAACUCUGGACAGGCGGUGGAAACUACCAAGCUGGAGUACGGUAGGGGCAGAGGGAAUUUCCGGUGGAGCGGUGAAAUGCGCAGAUAUCGGGAGGAACACCGGUGGCGAAGGCGGUUCUCUGGGCCUUACCUGACACUGAGGAGCGAAAGCGUGGGGAGCGAACAGG